GCUCAGGAUGAACGCUGGCGGCGUGCCUAAUACAUGCAAGUCGAGCGAACAGACAAGGAGCUUGCUCCUUUGACGUUAGCGGCGGACGGGUGAGUAACACGUGGGUAACCUACCUAUAAGACUGGGAUAACUUCGGGAAACCGGAGCUAAUACCGGAUAAUAUUUCGAACCGCAUGGUUCGAUAGUGAAAGAUGGUUUUGCUAUCACUUAUAGAUGGACCCGCGCCGUAUUAGCUAGUUGGUAAGGUAACGGCUUACCAAGGCGACGAUACGUAGCCGACCUGAGAGGGUGAUCGGCCACACUGGAACUGAGACACGGUCCAGACUCCUACGGGAGGCAGCAGUAGGGAAUCUUCCGCAAUGGGCGAAAGCCUGACGGAGCAACGCCGCGUGAGUGAUGAAGGUCUUCGGAUCGUAAAACUCUGUUAUUAGGGAAGAACAUACGUGUAAAGUAACUAAUGCACGUCUUGACGGUACCUAAUCAGAAAGCCACGGCUAACUACGUGCCAGCAGCCGCGGUAAUACGUAGGUGGCAAGCGUUAUCCGGAAUUAUUGGGCGUAAAGCGCGCGUAGGCGGUUUUUUAAGUCUGAUGUGAAAGCCCACGGCUCAACCGUGGAGGGUCAUUGGAAACUGGAAAACUUGAGUGCAGAAGAGGAAAGUGGAAUUCCAUGUGUAGCGGUGAAAUGCGCAGAGAUAUGGAGGAACACCAGUGGCGAAGGCGACUUUCUGGUCUGUAACUGACGCUGAUGUGCGAAAGCGUGGGGAUCAAACAGGAUUAGAUACCCUGGUAGUCCACGCCGUAAACGAUGAGUGCUAAGUGUUAGGGGGUUUCCGCCCCUUAGUGCUGCAGCUAACGCAUUAAGCACUCCGCCUGGGGAGUACGACCGCAAGGUUGAAACUCAAAGGAAUUGACGGGGACCCGCACAAGCGGUGGAGCAUGUGGUUUAAUUCGAAGCAACGCGAAGAACCUUACCAAAUCUUGACAUCCUUUGACAACUCUAGAGAUAGAGCCUUCCCCUUCGGGGGACAAAGUGACAGGUGGUGCAUGGUUGUCGUCAGCUCGUGUCGUGAGAUGUUGGGUUAAGUCCCGCAACGAGCGCAACCCUUAAGCUUAGUUGCCAUCAUUAAGUUGGGCACUCUAAGUUGACUGCCGGUGACAAACCGGAGGAAGGUGGGGAUGACGUCAAAUCAUCAUGCCCCUUAUGAUUUGGGCUACACACGUGCUACAAUGGACAAUACAAAGGGCAGCGAAACCGCGAGGUCAAGCAAAUCCCAUAAAGUUGUUCUCAGUUCGGAUUGUAGUCUGCAACUCGACUACAUGAAGCUGGAAUCGCUAGUAAUCGUAGAUCAGCAUGCUACGGUGAAUACGUUCCCGGGUCUUGUACACACCGCCCGUCACACCACGAGAGUUUGUAACACCCGAAGCCGGUGGAGUAACCAUUUGGAGCUAGCCGUCGAAGGUGGGACAAAUGA
rnacentral:rRNA from 1 species